UGGGGAAUCUUGGACAAUGGGGCAACCCUGAUCCAGCCAUGCCGCGUGAGUGAUGAAGGCCUUAGGGUCGUAAAGCUCUUUCGCCUGUGAAGAUAAUGACGGUAACCGUAGAAGAAGCCCCGGCUAACUUCGUGCCAGCAGCCGCGGUAAUACGAAGGGGGCUAGCGUUGUUCGGAAUUACUGGGCGUAAAGCGCGCGUAGGCGGACUGAUCAGUCAGGGGUGAAAUCCCGGGGCUCAACCCCGGAACUGCCUCCAAAACUAUUGGUCUAGAGUUCGAGAGAGGUGAGUGGAAUUCCAAGUGUAGAGGUGAAAUUCGUAGAUAUUUGGAGGAACACCAGUGGCGAAGGCGGCUCACUGGCUCGAUACUGACGCUGAGGUGCGAAAGUGUGGGGAGCAAACAGGAUUAGAUACCCUGGUAGUCCACGCCGUAAACGGUGGGCGCUAGGUGUGGGGAUCGUUUCCACGAUCUCCGUGCCGUAGCUAACGCAUUAAGCGCCCCGCCUGGGAGUACGGCCGCAAGGCUAAAACUCAAAUGAAUUGA
rnacentral:rRNA from 1 species